UUUUCCCCGGUUUCACCAAAAGGCUGUCAGCAUCAGUUGUUCAGACGUAACGUACCUACCAAAGGUAUACGCUGCCUGCAAGCGCUCUGAAUGCCACUUCUUUAGAGGAGCCCAACUUCGGUGCUCAGAAGUUUAAGUCUCCUGAGAACGUUUUUUCUGAGCGAUUCCAGCUUCCAGACACAUUUGCCAUGAUAAGGGUUUCGAUCCUUUCCCGUGCUUGCUCUGAGCCAUGAGUGGAUAUGUGUGAUGCCUGCAAGUAAAACUGCAUCUUUUUUGGUAGCUGGCAUCAGGUGGGCUAGUCCUUCUUCACGUGAGCUGCUGCGCUCGAGCUCGUGGGAGCUCUUYGGGCCUCUCCGGUCGCUCACUGUGCAGAUGGUGCCCUGUCCUGAGAAGAUCCCUUCUGGUCACCCCCCAGCAAAGAGACAUAUCAAACUGAUUUUGUUCUCGCAGAGUAAUAGGUCUGUGGUUUCCUCGGGCCCGUCUGCCCUUUGCCAUGCCCCCAUGCUACCUUCCCAACUCCUUGUCACCUUUCAUUUGUGGUGUAGUCGUUUUUCAGGUGACACUAAUUGCGUUGCGCUCAUCGGGGACUUAAUAAAGGCGUGACGACUAGGACAGUGCCCUGAGAGAUGAAGUCCCCCCGCUGCCAAGCGCCGAGUUUCGUGCGCUGGAGGAAGUGGGCUCGGGCCGUACCUGCGCACCUGGGCCGUGCGGUGGCUCUUCUGGGGAGCUGGAACGUGGUGGCCUUGAGCUUCUGGGAGGCCCCAAAUCAGCAAGAGCAAAGUAAAAGAUGCUUUCAAACAAUUCAUGCUGAAAUUAAGCAUUUUUUCCCAAGACAGGAGUAGUUAAGAAUUUGAUAAAACACUAAAACCUAGCCGCAGAGAACUAGGUGUGAAAUAAGAAAAGGCUUAUAACUUCAUUAGGCAAUCACAGUCAUCUACAGGUACUUUAAAUAGGAAGGGUUUUAUUUUAAUUAUUUUUACAGGGUAGGAGGAAUAUAAAUUCUCUUGCUUUAGGACAGAGCUAGCAAAGGGUUAGGCAGCAAUCCCUUUUCUCCAGAGAGAAAAAUUGUCUGUUAAGUGCUUUUUUUCUACUUUUCUCUGAAAACUGGCCUUGGCCAUUGCCAUAAGGAAAGGAUGUUGGCCUAGAUGGGGUCUGACCUUCCCUCUUCUGGGUGCUGAUGAGAGCUCUGCCCUUUUUCUUSCAUUUUGAAUACUCGAAUAGAAUUAAAAUGAAAACAGCUAUUAAAAGCAGGAGUUGAACACGCAACCAGGAGCUUAACCUGUGUCAGGUAUCRAGCCCCCUGGGAUCUCGGUAAUAAUCCCUGCCCGUUGGAAGCAGUCCCGGCGCGGGGUGGUGCYGUGGUGGGAGCCCUUGCAUGCGGCGGCUUUCUGGGGCAAUACACACGUGACUGCAGAACUUAAAAAAAUUUGCUUCUCUUUUUAGCACAGUGUCUUUUAAAGGUGUUAUAUUUGUUUCCAUUUUGUGUUAAAUUAAAAUUAAACGGUUCAACUGUGUAGAUUUAAUCCUGUACGAAUAUAUUUAAUUUUGAAUCCUUUUAGCCUAUGUAUAUGUCACUAAGAUAAAAGCAAGAGUAGGGGGCUCUGCGUUUUGUUUUACUUGAAUCAAAUAGCCUAUUGGGGUUUCAAUUAUAAGUGAGUGUUACACUUGUUUGUUACGAAGGUGACUACAGUGUCAAGGUUAUGUGGAUGUUGUAGUAUUAUAAAUGCAAAGAUAAUGUAGAAAAGAAAAAUAGUUGUGUUGGCUAAAAUCAUCCUAUUCCUGUAGCAUAAAGUUGCACACUGUCCUACAUUUCAAAUCUCGUUCUAUUAAAUUACCUGUUUAAUAAUUUGAAUCCAGUGUUAUUUUUAUAUUAUAUUGCAAAUGUGUGACUGUGAGGUUAUUUUUAAGAUAUAUUUAUUAAGGGAAUGAAUACAAUAAGACAAGUCAUUGCAGCCCACAUACAGUUCCUUGACUUCUCAUUUUAUGAUGUUUCAAUUGCAUAUGAUUACCGAAUAUAAGUUUUAACUUUUAUGGGGGUUCAUUAGAGAUGCAGCUGUGUAGAGAGAAAUUCAAUAGAAAUUUGAUAUAUUUUUUUUAAGCUCUAGAAGUGUAGUGAGAUGGAGCAACUUGAUGGAACAUAAUUCCAGGCUUCCUUGUCUGAGCUCGGACACACAGUUCUUGAGUUUUCAAGGGCUUAGCUGUACUGGAAUGGAAAUUUGCCUAUCGCUAAUGAUGAGGAGAGGCAUGUCACUAGCGAGAGGCCUGUGUGCUUGAUGUGAGGGAAACUGGAGCAUCUCAAGUCAAGGGCAUUUGCCUCUUUUCUCAGUAGGACACAGAGAAGAGGUGGUAUCCUCAGUUGGGGCAAAGGACUAGGAUGAAAUGCUUUUUGCUCCUCUGCAAGUCAGAGUUCUGGUGGAGAAAUAAGGUUUCAGUGAAUCUGCAGCAUUCUCUUCUAAUAGGGAAUCUAAGGAAAAUAAACUCCCUAAAAGAACAGUGCUAAAACCGAUC
rnacentral:lncRNA from 1 species